UACGGAGGGUGCAAACGUUGCUCGGAAUCAUUGGGCGUAAAGCGCACGUAGGCGGACUGUUAAGUCGGAUGUGAAAUCCCUCAGCUUAACUGAGGAAGUGCACUCGAAACUGGCAGUCUUGAGUAUGGAAGAGGGUUGCGGAAUUCCCGGUGUAGAGGUGAAAUUCGUAGAUAUCGGGAGGAACACCGGUGGCGAAGGCGGUUCUCUGGGCCUGUUCUGACGCUGAGGAGCGAAAGUGUGGGGAGCGAACAGG
rnacentral:rRNA from 1 species